AUUGAACGCUAGCGGGAUGCUUAACACAUGCAAGUCGAACGAGUGGCGGACGGGUGAGUAAUAUAUAGGAACGUGCCCAGUAGAGGGGAAUCACUACUGGAAACAGGGCUAAUACCGCAUACUAUUGGAUCAGCCGAUAUGGGAGUAGCUAGUAGGUGGGGUAAAGGCUCACCAAGGCAACGAUCCGUAGCUGGUCUGAGAGGAUGACCAGCCACACUGGGACUGAGACACGGCCCAGACUCCUACGGGAGGCAGCAGUGGGGAAUUUUGGACAAUGGGGGAAAGCCUGAUCCAGCCAUCCCGCGUGUAUGAGGAAGGCCUUCGGGUUGUAAAGUACUUUCAGUCGGGAGGCGUUACCGACAGAAGAAGCACCGGCUAACUCCGUGCCAGCAGCCGCGGUAAUAC
rnacentral:rRNA from 1 species